ensembl:lncRNA
GGGAGGGAGGGCUGAGGUGUCCCCCCUGCCGGGUGGAAUCGGCGCUGGCGGCGGCCGUGGUGGCGGAGGCGGCAGCGGCGGAGGCGGAGGCGGCGACGACGGGGGAGACGGCUGCCCAAGUGGGAGAGGCGGCGGGCGGCGGCGGACGAGGAGGAGGGGGAAGCCGCGGCGGCGGCGAAGGAUGCUGUAGAAUUGUUCCCUGCAGAGGUGUAGACCCAAAGUGUCAGGGAGCAUGUGAGUUUGUAUUUACGUGUUUGGCCAGGUUUCAUUCCAUAUAUAGUAUAUUUGAGAUGCUAAGUUUCCAUUCAAGUCCGCUUAAUUGUUAUGGAAGAAUUCUUCAAAUGUUUCUGAUAAGAGGGUUUUCCAGGAGAGUGGAGGGGAUUUGCUGCUACACAGUGCUUUUCUUCUAGUCUCUUGAAAUUCAGGUUCCCCGAAGCUCAGGAGGCUGUUGGCAGAUGGGCUUUUUAUUCAUUGGGAAGUUCUCGGACACUUACGUUGUAUUCAAGGCAACAGCCAGACAGUACAGUUUUGCAUCCAUUUUGUCAGUUCUAGGUAAGUUAGUAAAGUGCCAAAUUUUGGGGUCAGGUUGAUUGGCAUCAUAUAAAAGGAAUUAGUUUCUUAGCAUACUCAAAAGAUGUUGCUCAUUAUGCAAUUUCAGAUUUAUCUGGGAAUUUUGAUGGGUACAACAGAUUAGAUUUUUUGGCUUUCAGCUAUCACUGUUUAACAUACUGUUGGUACAAUAGCAGUUUUGACUCCUUUUCAAAAAUACCCUUAUAAUGUUUCUGUAAAGGUCAGUCCACAAUUACUUUUUAAACUUGACAGUUUGAAACUUUUUUUAAAAAAUAUAGGCGUUUCUAAUAAGUGAAGAGUUGCUUUUUAUAUUACUGUAUGCCUUAGCUGGCUACUUUAAUUUGAACCCUAGGAAGAAUUUUCAGAUUUCUGAGUUGCAAGCAGAGCUAGUAGCCAGAUAGUCCAGGAAGGAUUCUGUAGCUUUUAAAAUGUGUGUGGAAUGAGUAUGUUGAAUGGUGGCACUAUCUGCAUUAACAGGAAAUAGAACAAAAAUUCCAGUGAUUCAGAACUUCUGUUUGCCCCUCCACCAGUUUGAAAUAGAGAGCGCUUUAUAUUUUCAACCUUAAAGAAUCAAACUGAAAGUUAAUAUGCUAAUUACAAUGUUAUCCACUGAACAUAUGCCAUCAGUUGGUUUUCCUUUUUGUUUCAUGAAAUAGCCUUUUUUCUUAGUUAGACAUAGUUUCCAAAGGACACUAUGAAAUAUCACUAUUCAAAACCUUCUGGAAGCUCUCAUAAUAGAACCAGUGUUUGUGUAAUUCAUUAAUAAAUGGAUGAAAUGAUCAGAGGUGCAAAUGAUAUGCUUCCUGAAAAGCAAAUUUUAAGCCAAUCCCAUUUGAUUGAAGGAGCCACCUGUGUUUGGUAUUCUGUGGAAAGAAGUUCUUGCCUUUAGCUAAGGAUAUGGUAAGGCUUGUAGUUAAUGACACCUAGUAAAAUGAGGCAAAUUCUGCAUAGUUAGGUGGGUACUACCUGGACCCCUAAUUAUGUUGAUAUUGAGUGUUUUAUAUGCUGGCAAAAGUCAACAUGAUUGGUUUUGUGCUUUGACAGAAAUUAAAGCUUUAUUCUACUUCUAUGUAAGGAAAAUUCCAAAGAACUGUUUAGAAAGCCAUUACCUGUGAUCCACCUUCAUUUUGAGAGAUAGGCAUGAAUUAUAUAGAUUGCUUGAUUUUCUGAGUUAUGUGCUACAAAUGUCCCUGUAGGAUGAAUUUUCUAAAACUGAAGUUGCACACACACACAUACACACUAAAUGUUUAUUUUUAUGAAUAUUCGGAUCCUUAAAAGAGUUUUGCUUUUACUGCCUUUUUUAAGUUCCUGGAAUUAUUUAUAACAUGUAAGGCUCAUAGAUUAAGUUUUAACUUUCAUUAUAUCUGCUUGGCCAGAUUCACAUGCUGCAGGAACAGCAGCAAUGAUUUUUUUUGUUUCGAUUGACUUUUGCUAUCUUUCUUUAAUAAGAACUCUGUAAAAUCAGGGGUUAUGCUGUGAUAGACAGGUGUGAAGAUGAGUGCACUGCAGGAGUGGAGAGGAAGAUGCUGGCAGAGGAUUGGAUGAACAGUUUGCAGGGAUAUAGAAAUGUGGGCAGUGAUGGCUGCAAGUACAGGAAAGUAACGGCUGGACUGUAUUAAGGAGGUUUCUUCUUUCUUUUAAUGGGCUCUCACAAGCUAUGUAUGCCCUCGUUUACCACUAUAUUCAGAUGGUAAGGAAUUUGGAGAUAUUUAUCUGUGAGUUUGGUAACUGGAGACAAGUAUUAAGGAGGUUCUGUCUUUCAUUUUCUAAAUAUCCUCAUCCCUCAGAACAGCCUGUUUAUUAUAAGUGGUGCUUUACCUACAUUCAGCCUUCUAGUUUUUGUUUUUUAAAGGAAAUGGGGGGUUUACAUAUUUCACUUAGAUUUUCUUGACACUCUGCAGAGUGUUUUCCCAUCAUGUCCUGAGCAUGAUGAGAAUUGCUAGAGGACAAGUUGUCAAUGUUUAAAGAUUUCUAUGAGAUGGUUUUAGGUUUUGCCCGUUAAAAAGUACAUUCAUUCAAAACUUAAUUUAUGUCACUCCUCACCUCCAUCUUCCAGUGGUGUUUGAGAAGUAAGGCUUCGCUGAAUAUGACUGCUUUAUUGAGCUCAUUCAUUUUGUUUGUUUGAGAUGGGGGUCUUGAUUUGAGCUCAAGCUGCCUCAGCCUCCUACUGCGGUGUUUACAGGUAUACCCCUGGCCUGCUUCAUAUUUUUAACCAUCGGUUCCAUUUCAGCAUUUGGUACAACAGACAUGGGUAGUAAAGAGAAUGCUGCUAAUGAUCAUUGAAUUCUUACCGAAUACCAAAUUUUCAUUCACUUUUUGAGUUUUUGGUAAGCCCUAGUAGUGUCUGGGACGCCUCUAAAUCCUGGAGAUGCAGUACUGAAUAACAAACAGAAUUUUCUGUUCUAGUAUAGUUUAUAUGCUAAUGAUAGAAGACAUAAAAAAUGAGUGAAAUGUGUCGGGGGCAAAACACUGGGGAAAGAGAACAGGGAAGCUGAGCAAUGAACAUUGCCUAUUAGAUUUGAGAUCUGCAGUAUGGCUCUGGAUUUCAGAAAACAGAACUAUCCAGUGUGGUUCUUUCUUAGACUAAGAAUAUCCUUUAGAACUUGGAAACAAAAUGAUAUUUGUGUUUCAAGAAUUACAAAUUGUUACAGAGUUUCAAUUAGUAGGGAUUUCCUAUUGUUAGUAUUUCAAAAAGCUACUUUGUGACUCAGUAGAAAAUUCUGGAAUUUACCAUCCUAGUUUGAACCCUAGUUUUGGCUACUUAGCACUUUGCUAAGUGUUUAAGGCUAGUUAUGAUCUCUUAGCUUCUCUGAGCCUGUUUUGUAGUCUGUAAGAUAAAUUGUCUAAGGUUUCUAUGAUGAUUAAGUGGUACAUUUUAUAUGCAGGUCAUAUGCAGUGGAGUGUGGGUAAUUUGUACCAUUUUUUGUUUAUUGCCUUUCUGGAACUCUGCAAAAUAAACAUGUUUGAGUUGGUGACUGCAGCAAGCUCUACCAGCACUAUGUAGACAUUGUUAAAUCUACAUUUCAUUUGGCCACUUGCAGCAACCUGGCCUAUAGUAUAAUGUUAAUUAAAGAACAUACUGUCCUUGGUGCUUGCUGGAGAGCUGAUGUAUGUCAUCUAGUCAGUGUAACACAGGAGUACCAUUACAGCCUUCUGGUGAAGGAGCAUUAUGGGCCUGCCAUCUAGGUUGAUAAGCUGGAUCUAAACACUGACAAAUGGACAGCAAGUACCUUAUAAAAUUCUAACUCAUGCAGACACUUAAGACAUUUAGCACAGUGCAUGAAUGGCACAUAGAAAAUGUUCAGUAAAAUGUUCACUUGUCAGUUUUUCCUUUAUUUUAUAAACAAGGGUGUUUCAGAGAUUUUACAAAAUACUAAAACAUUUACAAAGGUGAAAUGUGCCUCUUGUGAAUGAGAUUUUGAAGAUAAACUGAAUAGCCAUUCAAAUUGCAAAUCUUUGUAACACUGGGAGGUCACUAAAUUGAACUCCUCAGGAUAGACCAUGUCUUCCUUUCCUUGGAGCCUUCUUCACACACUGGGCAGUGCUUGGCCUGUAGCUAGGAGUUCAGCAGGAUGUGUGCUGAG